CGCGUUGGUUCGCGCCGUGGAAGGCCGAGUAACUACCUUUGUGCCGCGGUUGCGGAGCCGCGGAGUUCGCCCGUCCACGCCGCAGGUGGGUCGCCGUGCGCGUCCCGCCCAUGCUGCGGUCCCCAGCCAUGGCCCUCGCCAUCCGAGUCGUUUAUUGUGGCGCUUGAGGCUACAAGUCCAAGUAUCUUCAGCUCAAGAAGAAGUUAGAAGAUGAGUUCCCCGGAUGCCUGGACAUCUGCGGCGAGGGGACUCCCCAGGCCACCGGCUUCUUUGAAGUGAUGGUAGCCGGGAAGUUGGUUCACUCCAAGAAGAGAGGUGAUGGCUACGUGGACACGGAGAGCAAGUUUCUGAAGCUGGUGGCUGCCAUCAAGGCCGCCUUGGCUCAGGGCUGAUGUGGCCUGAAGGCAGAGUCUUUCACUGGAGCAGAGUGAGGUCACCUUCGCUGUGAACUCGAACCUGCCGAUUGUGUUGGCGCGAUCCCCAGAAAGCAGCAUCUUGCCUCCCGUGCAGUCCAGUGACCUUGGCCCAGCCCCUCGUGGCAGACGCUUCAUGACGGGAAGGACUGAAAUGUCUCACGGACGCCUGGUCUUUCCCUGAUGUCCCUGCGGCUGCCGCGUGGGGGCAGAGACUGACGCCCCUGGUCCUUGCCUCUGUGUGUGUGUGUGUGCCCCUGGGAGUAUAGCUCCGUACCCUGCCUGCCUUGCUCCUUCCUCUCCCCCCACUUCCCCAUUGCCCCGCAUCCCCCAGUCCCCUGGCUACUCUCUAGCAUUUGGGGUGGUCCUGCUCCUGGCUUCCUUCUCAGGGCGGCCGAGAGGGGGAUCUGGGUGAGUGAGUUGCAGAUUUCAACAAUAUUGGCAACGGUUCACUAUUCAAUAAACACUGGAUGAGUUUAACAGAA